UACGUAGGGGUCUAGCGUUGUCCGGAAUCAUUGGGCGUAAAGAGCUCGUAGGCGGUUCGGCAAGUCGGAUGUGAAAUCUCCACGCUCAACGUGGAGGGGCCAUUCGAAACUGCCGUGACUCGAGUCCGGUAGGGGAGUGCGGAAUUCCCGGUGUAGCGGUGAAAUGCGUAGAUAUCGAGAGGAACACCAGUGGCGAAGGCGAGUCUCUGGACGACUCCUGACACUGAGGCACGAAAGCUAGGGGAGCAAACAGG
rnacentral:rRNA from 1 species